AUUAAGUGCAAUUGAAUUAGCUUGAAUGUCAAGAGGUAUAGAUACAUGGCACUGACGAGGACUCGUAAAACGGUGACCCAAGUAGAUUCCGGAUCAUAGCUCGGCGAUCUUUGUGAAUUUCCAAGAUUUAAAAAAUUUCUAACGUAAAUUUCGAAAAAAUGUCAUACGUUGAGGUCUUCUUCAAUAGUGCGGUUUGGAUGAUUAUAUCACCAAGUUUGAAGUUUCCAGAUAAUCACAUUAACGAAGAAGCAGUUUUGGAACUUUCCAACAAAGACAUCGUCAACUCGUUCCAGGUAUAGGACACAGGUCAAAACUCCUCAAAGCAAUUCAUCAACUAAAAACUGGAGCCGUCUACGUAUGUUUUAAAUGUCGAGAGAGUUUUGGUAACUUAGAUUUAUCUGGGUCACCAGCCGUACAAGCUCUCAUUGGGCAAUUAAUGCAUAGAUAAAUUUGUGAUAAAUUAUUUAGUGCCAACCAACUCUGCGAACACAGCUUAUACUCUGAAUUAUUUAGUCAAUUACUUAAGUAUUUGUUAUUCAAUUAAUCUAUUUGUUAAUUAAUAAAUGGGAUAAAUAUCUUAAAAUGCGAA